UGCCAUCAGCCGCGGUAAUACAGAGGGUGCGAGCGUUAUCCGGAAUCACUGGGCGUAAAGGGUACGUAGGCGGUUUUUUAAGUCCGAUGUCAAAUCUUGAGGCUCAACCUCAAGUCGGCGUUGGAUACUGGAUGACUAGACUACUGGAGAGGUAAGUAGAAUUACCAGUGUAGCGGUGGAAUGCGUAGAUACUGGUAGGAAUACCCAUAGCGAAGGCAGCUUACUGGACAGAUAGUGACGCUAAGGUACGAAAGCGUGGGGAGCAAGCAGGAUUAGAUA
rnacentral:rRNA from 1 species